AACUGUAAGGUUAAACUGCAGCGUACCGAUCGCUAGGUUUUCCCACAACUUUAAAUGGUUCAAUGACAGUGUUCCUCUGACAUCCAAUGAGGAAAUAGUGAUUGAUGAAACUUCGUCAUUGCUGUCGCAUAGUUCGCUAUUGACUAUCGCAAAUGUUAAAAAAUCGCAUCAAGGUAUUUAUUCUUGCAGAGGAAAAAGAACUGAUGAUUGUAUUGUAGAGAAGCAGUAUCAUCUUACAGUUAAUGGUUCUGCAACAUUUUCAGCUUCAGUUAGCGUACUAUUAUCGAUAAUUUUAGUAAUCUUUUUAAUGUAAUACUAUCAUCAAGCUAAAGAUCCAUCUGGCGCACAAUCUAGAUUCCCAUAAGUAUCUAUUUGAGUUUCUCCAUUGAUUCUCAUGAAAAUCCAUGGAGGUAUUGAUCUAAAUCUAUAUGAGGUCCCAUCGGAAACUAUAUGUGCUUCCAUUCAGAUCUGUAUAAUACUCUGUGAAGAAUCCCACACAGAAAAAAAAGUUAACUUGAUUCAAGUGAAAUAUUCUUAAGCCACGAUUACUAGUUUGAAAAAUGACAUUUUUUUUUUUGCUUCAAGAAUUUAUUUCUUGGCUCGAAGAGUUUAAGGAUUCUUAAAUCAAGAUUCGUAUAUGUUUUGUUCAAAAGUUCUUUUUUUCUACACAACAAAUCUAACUCUCUGACCAAGUAACAAAUUUACUAAAGUGAAGUAAAAAUGUCAACGCCAGGUGGCGCUUCAAUGAGCACAGCGUAUAUAUUUUUUUCUCGGUUAGUUGUAGUUAGUUUUGUCGUCAAUGUUUAUU